rnacentral:rRNA from 1 species
CAGCAGCCGCGGUAAUACGGAGGGUGCAAGCGUUAAUCGGAAUUACUGGGCGUAAAGCGUGCGUAGGCGGUUCGUUAAGUCUGUUGUGAAAGCCCCGGGCUCAACCUGGGAAUGGCAAUGGAUACUGGCGAGCUAGAGUGUGUCAGAGGAUGGUGGAAUUCCCGGUGUAGCGGUGAAAUGCGUAGAGAUCGGGAGGAACAUCAGUGGCGAAGGCGGCCAUCUGGGACAACACUGACGCUGAGGCACGAAAGCGUGGGGAGCAAACAGGAUUAGAUACCCGUGUAGUCCCUGUCUCUUAUAC